GUGCUCACUUCAGCAGCACACAUACUAAAAUUGGAAUGAGACAGAGAUUAGCAUGGCCCCUGCUCAAGGAGGACACACACACUUGUGAAGCAUCCUGUCUAUUU